AUAAAUGAAAAACAACGAAUAAUAUAUACAAUGUAAAGAAUCUAAUAUAUAAAAUACAUACCCAGUUGAAAACAUACAUCAAUAAACACACAUUACACACAUUAUGAAACCCAAAAAUAAAAAAGAAAAAAAAAGAUUGAACCAAUACACUAUACAACUUUAGUUGCAAAUUAAAAUCCAAUACACCUCUUGAAUUUGUCCUUCUAUUGCUGCCAGGGACACAUCCAAGAGGGCGACAACCCUCUUUCGAUCCUUCUUCUUUCCCAUUGAUUUCACAGUAACACCCAAACACCCUAAAGGUUUUGUUGUUGUUCUUCACCCUUCUUCUCCUUCACUUCUCUGUUAAAUGAAAGAAACCCAAACACCCCCUUCAUCGAUUAUUCUGCCUGCAUCAUCAUCCUUUGGAUUGGAAGCCAAAUUAAAAAAAAAAAAAAAANCAAAAAAAAAAAAAAAAAAAAAAAAAAAAAAAAAAAAAAAAAACAAAACAAAACAAAACAAAACAAAACAAAAAAAAAAAAAAGAAAGUAGAAUCAAGAGGAUUACCGGUUUCCACCAUUGAUGACCAAGCUCUUGCACUCCGCUUUUUCUUCCGUAGAGCAAAUGGCACCGAAGACCUCGUAUUCGUCACUGCUGCUCCUCGCGACACCUCACCGGAGACCCCCUUUCCCUUCGUUUUCUUUCUCUGGUGUUCCCAUUGCCACAGACCGCCGAAGGUCUCAUCUUUGUUGCUACCGCUGCUUGUGACGCCCGGACUUCGCAUGUCGCUGCCGGAGGAGAUAGAGCGCAGCCCCGCUGCUCCUUCCUAUCUUCUUCUUCGGUCUAAUCGAACCCCGGAGACCAUCUCGGCUUGCGAGUCGACCGACGAACCUUCGUGCUUCCCUCUCGUCAUCCUCGUUCGUCUAUCCUCGUGAUUCCUUUCAGUCGCCAUCGCUCAGCCGCUUUCGUUCAUACCUUUCACUUGCCCGAUCAACGAAUGGAAUCGGGAACAAGAAGCCCUAUAUUCGUUUAAAGUUUGGGCCAUUAAACAAAAAUGGUCCCUCCAUAAGAUUCCAUUAGAUAAAAGCCCUAAUCCAUUUUAAGUUCUUUUAAAAAUGACAAAAUGAACCCUUAUUUGACAAAGC
rnacentral:lncRNA from 1 species